rnacentral:rRNA from 1 species
AUUGAACGCUGGCGGCAUGCCUUACACAUGCAAGUCGAACGCCAGCACGGGUGCUUGCACCUGGUGGCGAGUGGCGAACGGGUGAGUAAUACAUCGGAACAUGUCCUGUAGUGGGGGAUAGCCCGGCGAAAGCCGGAUUAAUACCGCAUACGAUCCACGGAUGAAAGCGGGGGACCUUCGGGCCUCGCGCUAUAGGGUUGGCCGAUGGCUGAUUAGCUAGUUGGUGGGGUAAAGGCCUACCAAGGCGACGAUCAGUAGCUGGUCUGAGAGGACGACCAGCCACACUGGGACUGAGACACGGCCCAGACUCCUACGGGAGGCAGCAGUGGGGAAUUUUGGACAAUGGGCGAAAGCCUGAUCCAGCAAUGCCGCGUGUGUGAAGAAGGCCUUCGGGUUGUAAAGCACUUUUGUCCGGAAAGAAAUCCUUGGCUCUAAUACAGUCGGGGGAUGACGGUACCGGAAGAAUAAGCACCGGCUAACUACGUG